rnacentral:rRNA from 1 species
AUGCUUUCCGGGGAGAUACCGCGUACAAUCGGCCGUCUCCAUCGUCUGCGCCACCUGAGCUUAGUCAACAACUCGAUCGUUGGCGAGAUUCCUCACGAGAUCUGCAACUGCUCCAACCUCGUGUCCAUGACCCUGGGUAAGAACCAACUGCAGGGGGAAAUCCCUCCUGCUCUUGGGUCACUGUCUCAGCUGCAACUCUUCUAUCUUACCACUAACAAUUUGGUAGGAGGUGUCCCUCCUUCGUUCGGCAACCUGUCUUCGCUUGCGAGGUUAUCACUCUAUGAAAACAAACUGGAAGGGCCCAUACCUGAGGGCCUUUCCCGCCUUCCGCAUCUCCAGCUCAUCCAAGUGGCCAGGAACAAUCUCUCCGGCGCAAUUCCACCACUCUUCUUCAACAUGUCAUCUCUUCAGUAUCUUGGUUUCGGGUCCAACAAACUACAAGGCAGCUUAUCGUCUGAUGUCGGUGUCAACCUACCGAUCCUGGAGGAGCUCCAUUUGGGCAACAAUCACCUGUCCGGGAGGAUCCCAAGUUCCUUUGCCAAUUCCACAAAGAUGCAACUGCUAAGCCUUGCCCGUAACAACUUCCAUGGGAGGGUGGCCCCCGAGAUAGGGAAGUUAUGCCCUGUCCGUGUUGAGUUGGGAAGCAACAGGCUGCAAGUCCAUGAUGCUGAGGGCUGGGAGUUCCUGAGAUUUUUCACAAAUUGCACCCGUCUACAAUUGAUAGAUCUCAACGAAAACGACCUAGGAGGGGUACUUCCAGGUUAUGUAGCUAACUUUUCAAGGCAGAUCCAGUGGCUAAGCAUGGCAGGAAACAGAAUCACUGGGACGAUCCCCUCAGGUAUCGGAAAUCUUGUCAACCUCAACGACCUAGAGUUAGGGGGGAACAAUCUGCAUGGUCCUAUUCCAGAGGGGAUUGGGAGACUGAAGAACCUGCAAAUUUUGUUGCUUCAACAGAAUGACCUUUCCGGACAUAUACCAUCUUCUUUCGGCAACCUCACACUGCUGCAGAAUUUUUCCUUGUCCAACAAUAGAAUCGACGGCCCCAUUCUUAAAAGCCUUGCAAACUUGCAGCAGUUACCUAGCCUAGACUUAUCCUCUAAUCUACUGACUGAGGUUAUCCCUGAUGAGAUCUUUGGCCUUCCUUUCUUGACAGAUUUUCUAUCCCUGUCCAACAACUAUUUGUCAGGUGUCCUGCCUCGACAAGUUGGAAAGCUGAAAAAUAUUGCAAGUUUGGAUCUGUCAAAAAACAACUUGUCAGGAGAAAUACCAGGUACACUAGGGGAUUGUGCAAGCUUAGUGCACCUGGCUUUGGAUGAUAAUUCCUUCACAGGGAGUAUUCCCCCAUCACUUGGUAAUUUGAGAGGACUGAGCAGACUAAAUCUUAAAAAAAAUGAAUUGUCUGGAAGUAUCCCACGAGAGUUGGCCAAAAUCAAUGGGUUACAGCAGUUAUAUCUAGCACAAAAUAACCUGUCUGGGGUCAUUCAACCACUUUUUCAGAACUCAAGUGCUUUGAUUGAGCUAGACCUCUCCUUUAACCAUCUGGAUGGUGAGGUGCCUUCAAGCAGUGUGUUUGCAAACAUGAGUCGAUUCUCGCUGAUUGGUAACAAUGGACUUUGUGGCAGCAUUCCAGAGCUGAAAUUGCCUCCAUGUCAAGUAAAGCCACAUAAGCAGAGACAUAAAUUGCUGCUUGGUAUUCUGCUUCCAGUUGCCGGCAGUGCUAUAUGCUUUUGUCUGUUAGUCUCUGCACUCUUUAUGUUCAAGCGGAAAAUAACAGUGGGCAGGAUGAAGAUUGCUGGCCUCGGUGUGUUGGGUGAAAAGUAUCCCAGAGUUUCAUACUUUGAAAUAUUUGAAGCCACAGAUGGCUUUGCACCUGCCAAGCUGCAAGAUGGUUCUUCCAGAAAUUUCUUGGCAGAAUGUACAGCUCUCAGACGAGUUAAACAUCGGAACUUGAUAAACAUCAUCACUUGCUGCUCUAGCAUUGACCCCAAUGGCAAUGACUUCCGAGCCAUUGUGUUCGACUUCAUGCCUAACUUUUUCCUUGACAGGUGGUUGCAUCCAAGAGCAGAUGAGCAGUGGCACAAGUUGAGUAUUGUCCAGCUGCUGAACAUAGCGGUUGAUGCUGCAGAUGCGCUAGACUAUCUUCACAACAAUAGUCGGCCAUCAGUAAUCCACUGCGAUUUGAAGCCGAGCAACAUCCUCCUUGGCAGUGACUGGACUGCCAAGGUUGCUGAUUUUGGGCUUUCAAAGUUGGUUGGUGAAUACACAGGUAUAUCCGGAUUCAAUUCCGGGAGCUCCGUCGGGAUAAGAGGAACUAUAGGAUAUGUUGCUCCAGAAUAUGGAUUAGGGGGGCAAGUAUCAGUCGCCGGUGAUGCUUACAGCUUUGGGAUCACUCUGUUGGAGAUGUUCACAGGGAGGGCACCAACUGAUGAUAUGUUCAGAGAUGGGUUGAGUCUGCACUUGUUUGCUGAAAUGGCAUGCCCUGACAGGAUACCAGAAAUCAUCGACCCGGCUCUGUUACAGGUGCAACAUCCAUAUGAUGAUGAUGAUGCAAGGUUGGAUAAUGCAUUAGCUUGCUUAGCUUCUGUUAUAAGAAUCGGAAUCUUGUGCUCAAAGGAAACACCAUCUGAGAGAAUGAACAUGGAAAAUGUUGCCACCGAACUGAAUAAAAUCAGGGGCGCGGCAAUGGAAUCCUCUUCGCUAUAA